UUUUAAUAAAUUCCAUGUUUAUUCUGUACUGAAAUGUUCUGUGCUGCGCACAACACUUUCUAUUACAAAGAAAAUAGUAUAUUUUCAAUAGAAUGUACUGCGCCGCGCACAACACUAUCUAACCAAAAUACAUUGUAUUGAAAGUGUUAUUAACCGCUCAAAAGAUUAUGAUACCAAAUAAACAUGAAAUUUAUCAAAAAAAGGAGUAGGUCCGGUAAGGACCGAUUUUGGCCUCAAAUUUCAGGUUCAUCUGACAAAAGAUUUUGACCACUUUUUAAACACUUAAGUGUCUAUUUUAUUUGAAUUAAUUAGUUUAUGUGAAAGAUUUUAACAGAUUUAGUCAUUAAAAACAAUCCGAUUCAAGCUCAAAUAUGAAAAAUCUACCUAAUAUGCUGAAAAAUGUCACUUUUCAGAUGGGUUUUGGUAAAAAUGAAAGUGGCCGCAUCCGUGUU
rnacentral:lncRNA from 1 species